CACACCAGCACUCAGGAGGAGGAAAGCAGAACUAGUGAGAGGACUUGUGAUUUGGUAUGUUCUUCUUCUCUGGAAAGAAGGAAUGAAUUUCCAGUCCUAGAGAGCUAAACUCUACCACAUCACCUGGCUACAGUGUGAAAUCCCUUCAGGACAGUUUUGGAGAUGGUGAUGGCACACAUACUGCCUUCUGAUGAUUUUCCCAGUGGUCGUUCAAGCGCAUGGCAUUCAGCUCAUUCUGAUUCUCCUCUCGCCUCUGCAGCAGCUUCUUAAACGCUUCCAUUUGAACCUUCUGCAACCUGCAAGGAAAGAAAAGGCUGCAAAGGGAGAAAAGCUUUUCUGGGAAGAUACUUCCUGAGAAUGAACAAUUUCUUUGGCAUAUGCCGUGUCCAUCAUUGUUACAGGGUUCGGAACAAGAGGCUGAGGACCUGGCUGUCCCCUGCAUCCCUUGCAUCCUUUGCGGCUGACAGGGUACGCGACUCUCUCCUAGAAAGAGGUGCAAGAUGGAAGAUUGGUCACAUUCAUUAAAAAAACCUCCAAGCAAACAAACCAGAAACAUGUCAG